UUUCCAUUGAGGCUCAGAGAGGUCCAGUUACUUGCCCAAGGUCACCCAGCUCAAGGGUGGAGACAGAAUCAGAACACAGAACUAGAAGGAGGUACUUUCAUCAUCCACACUGAACAACUGGGAAAACUGAGGUUCCCAAAGAGAAGCAGCUUGUCCAAGGUCACACAGCUGUUUGCAACACCCCACACAAGCUCAUCACAAGUCCCAGGGAUAUGAGGAGAGCCGGCCUUACCAUCCCCAUCUGACAGUUAAGUUAAUCUGGGAGAUGAAGAUGUCAGCCUACUAGUGAAGCGAUGAGCCUCCAGCUGUUUCGACUCCCCUAGGCUCCCAGAAGGCAGGGGACCUUCGGGCCCUUUCCUUGACUGGCCUCUGGGCUCCCUGGGGACAGGGCUCAUUAUGAGCUGAAUGUGUGUGUUCCCCAAAAAUCCACCUGCUGAAAACCGUGAUGGGAUUAGGAGGGGAGGUAAUGAGAUCAGGGUGGGAUCAGUCUUCUUAUAAGAAAGGCUGAUUGGAUGUGAGGGUGAUCUGGC